rnacentral:rRNA from 1 species
AGUGAACGCUGGCGGUAGGCCUAACACAUGCAAGUCGAACGGCAGCACAGGAGAGCUUGCUCUCUGGGUGGCGAGUGGCGGACGGGUGAGGAAUACAUCGGAAUCUGCCCAGUCGUGGGGGAUAACGUAGGGAAACUUACGCUAAUACCGCAUACGACCUUCGGGUGAAAGAGGGGGAUCGCAAGACCUCUCGCGAUUGGACGAGCCGAUGUCGGAUUAGCUAGUUGGCGGGGUAAUGGCCACCAAGGCGACGAUCCGUAGCUGGUCUGAGAGGAUGAUCAGCCACACUGGAACUGAGACACGGUCCAGACUCCUACGGGAGGCAGCAGUGGGGAAUAUUGGACAAUGGGCGCAAGCCUGAUCCAGCCAUACCGCGUGGGUGAAGAAGGCCUUCGGGUUGUAAAGCCCUUUUGUUGGGAAAGAAAUCUUUCAGGCUAAUACCCUGGGAGGAUGACGGUACCCAAAGAAUAAGCACCGGCUAACUUCGUG